CGGAGGCCUGUGCUAGGUCCUAGGGUUGCAGCGGCGGGUGGCUGGGGCGUCUAGAGAAGGGAAGGGGAAUGGGGUAGAGCAGGGAGCGCCUGGGUUCCCCGAGGCAGCCCCAAGUGAGCCCGAGUAUUUUCCUUAUAUGAUCAGGCCUCUUGUAGCCGGCGCUGCUGGACUGGAGCCUGAGAGGAUUAUGAAAACGUGGCAGGGUUACCUGCUGUUCUGGAACUCGUCCUAUAGACUAGGCUAUGAAUUAUGUGAUUUCGCUUAAAUGCUGGGAUUAAAGGCGUGCUUCACCACA